rnacentral:rRNA from 1 species
GACGAACGCUGGCGGCGCGCCUAACACAUGCAAGUCGAACGAGCGAGAGAGAGCUUGCUUUCUCGAGCGAGUGGCGAACGGGUGAGUAACGCGUGAGGAACCUGCCUCAAAGAGGGGGACAACAGUUGGAAACGACUGCUAAUACCGCAUAAGCCCACAGGUCGGCAUCGACCAGAGGGAAAAGGAGCAAUCCGCUUUGAGAUGGCCUCGCGUCCGAUUAGCUGGUUGGUGAGGUAACGGCCCACCAAGGCGACGAUCGGUAGCCGGACUGAGAGGUUGAACGGCCACAUUGGGACUGAGACACGGCCCAAACUCCUACGGGAGGCAGCAGUGGGGAAUAUUGCACAAUGGGGGAAACCCUGAUGCAGCGACGCCGCGUGAGCGAAGAAGUAUUUCGGAAUGUAAAGUGCUUUCAGUUGGGACGAAGAACGUGACGGUACCAACAGAAGAAGUGACGGCUAACUACGUGCCAGCAGCCGCGGUAAAACGUAGGUCACAAGCGUUGUCCGGAAUUACUGGGUGUAAAGGGAGCGCAGGCGGGAAGACAAGUUGGAAGUGAAAUCUAUGGGCUCAACCCAUAAACUGCUUUCAAAACUGUUUUUCUUGAGUAGUGCAGAGGUAGGCGGAAUUCCCGGUGUAGCGGUGGAAUGCGUAGAUAUCGGGAGGAACACCAGUGGCGAAGGCGGCCUACUGGGCACCAACUGACGCUGAGGCUCGAAAGUGUGGGUAGCAAACAGG